UUCAUGUUUAUCCAAGUUCAAGUUAUUUAAAUACACAUAAAUAUGGGUUGGCUUAAUUGGUAAUAUUUCUUCAGCACUCCCAUUAAAUUGAGAGAUUGAGUUUUACUAAUAAUCUCUCUUAACGAGAGAUCUGUAAACUUCACUGUAGUCUCCAAUCCCUCAAUAAAGUUUACGCUGAUUCGUAGACUGUAAAUUGGAAGCUUUCACUCACCUAAACUUUUUUUUUUUUUUAUAAGCUCACCUAAACUUUGUUUCCACCAAAAAAAGGAAAUUGCAUUUCAUUUUCAGUUUCAAACAAAGAUGUGACCUGGGAUAUGGAUCACGAUCCAAGAAGCGCAGCAUCUUGUAGAACGUAGAGUCAUGAACCCUAAUCAUACGUUAAUCAAUCCCUCGGAGUAGCAUCAUCAAAGUCUCUCUCCUGAUCAAGAAAAUGAUGGUGAGUAGCAGAAGAAAAACCAGCAGCCAUAUGUGGAAAAGACCUCGAAAAAUCUUGUUCCGGUUGUUGUUGGUUUACUCCAGAUAAAGAAGCUGAGGGUGAAGAAGAGGCCAUUGAGAAAGAUCCUGAAAGAAAUGGUUCAGGAUUAUAAUUAUAGCAAAGACCUGAAGGUGCAGCAUAUUGUAGAUAGCUAUCAUCGUUGCCAGAAAGCAGCUGCGCAAACUGGAAAAGGUUUGGGAAUGCUUCAUUUGUCGAUGGAGGUGAAAAGGGAUCAUGAGGAGCAGGAUUAAUGUUAGCAAUUGAUGAUGAGGAAGAAACAAGAAGAUUAUUAUUAUUAGGAACAAGAAGCGGGUUUUGGUAAUUAGGUGCUGCAGCCAAGAAGCUGCUGCUGCCUAAAUUGAUAUGAGAUCCUCCUUGAACAAGUUCAGGGAAAUUUAGCUUAGCUUUUGUGCCUUUGAACUUAAGGGCUGCUGCAUCAUAGGCAGCUGCUGCAGCUUCUGCCGUGUCAAAGGUUCCAAGCCAGACACGAGCAGCCUUCUUUGGGUCACGGAUUUCGGCUGCCCACUUUCCCCAUGGUCUUUGUCUCACUCCUCUAUAGUGUCUUCUUCUCAUAUUCCCUUGAUCAGUGUUAUUUGUAGUCUGAGAAGUGCAAUGUUCGAUCCUAGCAGACCCCAUAUUUUCUUGAACAUGUUCAUCCAGCCUGUGAUUUCUGGCCAUGGCAUGAGCAAGAAUCGAUUGGCCUUGAUCAUGAAGAGAUGGUUGGUGGUGAGUAUACAAGAUUUGAUCUUGCUUUCCCUCAUCAGAACCAGGAAAUGGCCUCUUUCUAUGCAUGCUUCGGAUCCACCUUGUUAAACUCUUUAAUUUCUUGCUUCUUUUCAAGGGUUUGGGUUUCUAUAUUGCAUGAUGAAGCUAAAGUAUUUGCUUCUAUCUAUACGUAUUAGAAAAAAAGGCAGAUCUGGGUUUUGAUCUAGAUGAUGAUAAAGAUCGAAUAAAGCCAAAAGAGAUAUCAAGAAAAGAAGGAUAUGGUGAUAAAUUGUAAGAUAAAAAGAGAUUGAACAGCAAGAAGAAAGAAGAAGGGAAGGGUAGAGACGAAAAGAAGGUAUUCCUUGUAGGGUUUUGAUUGCCGAUGCAAAGUUGAAGUCACUGUUAUUUGUCCCUUGAUCCUGUCGAUUCCUGAUGAGAUGGAAGAUGCUUUAUUAAUACACUAGAUUUCAUCUUUGGCCGAUGGUGGUAGAGGAGCUUAUCAGGUCAUCCUCCCUCUUCUCUUCCAUGGCUGCUGCAUGCGAUCCUGCUUUUGAUCUCUCUCGCCUAACUGCUAGGCAGGUUGAGGUAAAGGUGAAG
rnacentral:misc_RNA from 1 species